rnacentral:lncRNA from 1 species
UAAAUGACAGUUUUCGACUUACCUUGCUGAAUGGGUUGGUUGCUGGAAGUCAGGGCUAUGGGGAGAGCUCUAAGCAGCCAGCUGGAGGACAGGCAUCGCUUAUGACAAAAGAGCUGGAUUUGGAGGUGCCUAGCAGGAAGUUUUCCAAAGAGAUAGCAGAGCUCCAGGGGACCGUGAGUGAGCUGUGGACAUCUGCCAUGCCACAGGGCACCAAUGCCCUUUUACAAUCCCUCCACUCAACUCACUGCUCUGUCAUUUCCUAAAGGCGUAAGCACUGUUGUCACAGUCUAAGAUGGUGGCUAGAGCUUCAGUCGUCGUAUUCAUGCUCCCGGGAGCAGGAUGGAGAAAGGAUGAAGAAGAUGUCCAUGAGUCAGCUGUCUUGUAAGGAAGGUUCCUAGAAGCUGCCACAUGACAUUUCUGCUUAUAUUCCAUCAGCCAGGGCGUAGUCACAUGGAUCCGCCAAACUGCAAAGAGACGAU